UACGUAGGUGACAAGCGUUGUCCGGAUUUACUGGGCGUAAAGAGCGCGCAGGCGGUCGAUCAAGUCGAGUGUGAAAGCCCCGGGCUUAACUUGGGAAUUGCGCUCGAAACUACUUUGCUGGAGUGUGGCAGAGGAAGGUGGAAUUCACGUGUAGCGGUGAAAUGCGUAGAAGAUGUGGAGGAACACCAAUGGCGAAGGCAGCCUUCUGGGCCAAACACUGACCGCUCGAUGAC
rnacentral:rRNA from 1 species